UGGGGAAUAUUGGACAAUGGGCGAAAGCCUGAUCCGGCAAUGCCGCGUGAGUGAUGAAGGCCUUAGGGUUGUAAAGCUCUUUUACCAGGGAUGAUAAUGACAGUACCUGGAGAAUAAGCUCCGGCUAACUCCGUGCCAGCAGCCGCGGUAAUACGGAGGGAGCUAGCGUUGUUCGGAAUUACUGGGCGUAAAGCGUACGUAGGCGGUGACUCAAGUCAGAGGUGAAAGCCUGGAGCUCAACUCCAGAACUGCCUUUGAAACUAGGUCGCUAGAAUCACGGAGAGGUGAGUGGAAUUCCGAGUGUAGAGGUGAAAUUCGUAGAUAUUCGGAAGAACACCAGUGGCGAAGGCGGCUCACUGGACGUGUAUUGACGCUGAGGUACGAAAGCGUGGGGAGCAAACAGGAUUAGAUACCCUGGUAGUCCCUGAGCGGGCUGGCAAGGCGCAU
rnacentral:rRNA from 1 species